AUCCUUUUGUGGUUCAUAAGCAUGACUGAGUUUUCACAUUCAUGUGUGAGAUGUACGUCUCUCAAAUCUUAUUAUGACCAUGGCACAUUACCUGUUUGACA